ACGGAAGGCAGCAGUGGGGAAUAUUGCACAAUGGGGGAAACCCUGAUGCAGCGACGCCGCGUGAGUGAAGAAGUAUUUCGGUAUGUAAAGCUCUAUCAGCAGGAAAGAAAAUGACGGUACCUGACUAAGAAGCCCCGGCUAACUACGUGCCAGCAGCCGCGGUAAUACGUAGGGGGCAAGCGUUAUCCGGAUUUACUGGGUGUAAAGGGAGCGUAGACGGCUUUGCAAGUCUGAAGUGAAAGCCCGGGGCUCAACCCCGGAACUGCUUUGGAAACUGUAGAGCUAGAAUGCAGGAGAGGUAAGUGGAAUUCCUAGUGUAGCGGUGAAAUGCGUAGAUAUUAGGAGGAACACCAGUGGCGAAGGCGGCUUACUGGACUGUAACUGACGUUGAGGCUCGAAGGCGUGGGGAGCAAACAGGAUUAGAUACCCUGGUA
rnacentral:rRNA from 1 species